rnacentral:rRNA from 1 species
UAGUCCACGCCGUAAACGAUGUCUACUCGGAGUUUGGUGUCUUGAACACUGGGCUCUCAAGCUAACGCAUUAAGUAGACCGCCUGGGGAGUACGGCCGCAAGGUUAAAACUCAAAUGAAUUGACGGGGGCCCGCACAAGCGGUGGAGCAUGUGGUUUAAUUCGAUGCAACGCGAAGAACCUUACCUACUCUUGACAUCCACAGAAUUCGGCAGAGAUGCCUUAGUGCCUUCGGGAACUGUGAGACAGGUGCUGCAUGGCUGUCGUCAGCUCGUGCCGUGAGGUGUUGGGUUAAGUCCCGCAACGAGCGCAACCCUUAUCACUAGUUGCCAGCAAGUAAUGUUGGGGACUCUAGUGAGACUGCCGGCGUAAGCCGCGAGGAAGGUGGGGAUGACGUCAAAUCAUCAUGGCCUUUAUGCCUAGGGCUACACACGUGCUACAAUGGCGAAUACAAAGGGUAGCGAAGCCGCGAGGUGGAGCCAAUCCCAGAAAGUUCGUCCC